GCCGGGAGCAGAGCCAGGGCGUUGUGCGGGUGUUGCGGCGCCUGCCGCCUCUGUGCGUGGCUGCGAGCUCCGUGCCUGGGUUUAUGGAGCUGUUUCAGUAACUUAACCAGUCCUUCGAAGCAACCUGCUCUUUCUCACAGGAACAGAACCGUGUCGUGCCUUUAAAUACCUGACCAAGUGCUUUAGAAGGGCAGGACACUUGAAAGAACAUCUCCCAAUGGCAAAGAUAAGAGCCCACGUCCUGCAUCCUGUGGCUGUGCAUUCUCAGCCACAAGAGUCACUGCAGCCCCUUUCCGGAGGGAGGCGAUUUGGACAACGCCAUCCGACUGAUGCGGCUGAUCCAGCUUUACCCGGGGGAAGUGGAUGAGGUCACAAGACUGGGAAAGGACUUGUUUGCUGUCAGGAGGAUGGUGAACUUGACACGUCAAAUAGAGCUGAGUGCUGCUGUGGGGAGAGAAAGGAAAGGCAAGGUUGUGCUUGUGCCCACUGAAGUCCUACUGAAGGCAACUGGCUCCCGUUGGUGCUCUGUGAAAAUGAAUCCGGUUGUUGUGCUUCCAUUGGCAGCUCCAAUGGCAGAUACAAGAUGCUGCUUCCUGAUCCCGUCCAAUGAUCCAAGGAAUUGUUUUGCUUGCAGGAGAUUAAAACAAUUAAAAAGAAAUAAAAGAAAGGCUUCCUUAUUCUAAGCACACAUUGAUGCUGAUGACCCGAUGCUGCCCCAGCUGGUGAUGAUUCCUGUGAUUGCCAACAGUUGCAUUACCCAGGGCUGGGUCCCCCUGUCAGGUGUUUCAAACUAAACAGAAUUUGCUGGAAAUGAGGUGGGCUGAGGUGAGUGAGUGGUGGAGUGUUUAAAGCCAGGCUGCAGGUAGCACCCCAGCUCUGAGUCUGGGGGUAAAGGGGCAGAUUUCUCUCUGGAUCUCUCCAGUUUGCACCAUGGACUAAAGGUAAGAGGAUUUUUGUGCUGUUCUGUCUCUCUGAUAAAGACUGAUAAAAGCUCCAGGAGAUGCUAAUGCACAACAGGUAUUUUGGUUUUGGUGUGUGUUGGCUUGUAGCUUUGAGUGCAGCACUUGCUUUAGGAUGUGAGUCUGGCCAUUCCUUUCAGCUUGUUUAGAACCCUUCUACAAACUCAUCUUAAUCUGAACAAAAAUCUUGGUUGUUUUGGAGUAGCCUGUUUAGUGUGUGUGUGUUCAUAUUGCUUUGGAGGUGGCUCUAUCUCAGAAGCUGCUUAAAGCUCCCCUGUGAAGAUCCCCACCAUCUGUAUUGAACAAACAAUAUUGUAAAAGUGUGUAUGAAGUAACUUUAUGCAAGAAAAGCUCAGGUUUCCCUGGCUGAUUUUCAGGAUCCAGCGGGGCAAAGAUGAGUUUAAUGAUACCUGUAGUAAGUGAUUUCUGAGCUUGUCUUUGUGGUAAAAUGUUGUGAGGAUAUUGAGGGGAAAGUCACUGCCUCAGUAUAAAUAUUUUCAUUGGAGCUGGCUGAGUAUUAUUAUGAAUUGAUAAGUUGGGGAUGUCAUCUUGAAUAGCAGUGUAAUGUUGUGACAAAAUGUUAUAUGCCAUCUGACACCUACUC